rnacentral:rRNA from 1 species
ACUCCUACGGGAGGCAGCAGUGGGGAAUUUUGGACAAUGGGGGCAACCCUGAUCCAGCCAUGCCGCGUGAGUGAAGAAGGCCUUCGGUUGUAAGCUCUUUCGGCCGGGAAGAAAUCGCGCAGGCUAAUACCCUGUGUGGAUGACGGUACCGGAAUAAGAAGCACCGGCUAACUACGUGCCAGCAGCCGCGGUAAUACGUAGGGUGCGAGCGUUAAUCGGAAUUACUGGGCGUAAAGCGUGCGCAGGCGGUUUCGUAAGACAGAGGUGAAAUCCCCGGGCUCAACCUGGGAACUGCCUUUGUGACUGCGAGGCUAGAGUACGGCAGGAGGGGGUGGAAUUCCACGUGUAGCAGUGAAAUGCGUAGAGAUGUGGAGGAACACCGAUGGCGAAGGCAGCCCCCUGGGCCGAUACUGACGCUCAUGCACGAAAGCGUGGUAGCAAACAGGAUUAGAUACCCCUGGUAGCGACUGA